rnacentral:rRNA from 1 species
AUUGAACGCUGGCGGAAUGCUUUACACAUGCAAGUCGAACGGUAGAGGGGGCAACCCCUCGAGAGUGGCGAACGGGUGAGUAAUAUAUCGGAACGUGCCCAGUCGUGGGGGAUAACGUAGCGAAAGUUACGCUAAUACCGCAUACGAUCUAAGGAUGAAAGCGGGGGAUCGCAAGACCUCGCGCGGUUGGAGCGGCCGAAACCAGAUUAGGUAGUUGGUGGGGUAAAGGCUCACCAAGCCAACGAUCUGUAGCUGGUCUGAGAGGACGACCAGGCACACUGGAAAUGAGACACGGUCCAGACUCCUACGGGAGGCAGCAGUGGGGAAUUUUGGACAAUGGACGCGAGUCUGAUCCAGCCAUUCCGCGUGCAGGAUGAAGGCCCUCGGGUUGUAAACUGCUUUUGUACGGAACGAAAAGGUCUCUCUUAAUACGGGGGACUCAUGACGGUACCGUAAGAAUAAGCACCGGCUAACUACGUGCCAGCAGCCGCCGUAAAAC